UCCGCCCUGAGGGGGCGACGGAGGCCGCAGGGCCGGAGCGCGGCCUGAGCGCCGUAGAUGAGGGGCCAGCGCGGGUCGAGCACCUGCCCUCCUCCCAACACCGGGGCUUGGCGAAACACCCUCCCAAACUCCUAAUAUUACAUGUAUUAUUCAGGUCCUUGUAAGCCCACAGGGCUCUUCUGCAGCAACAAAAGGUGUCCCCAGCCAGUACCAGCCACCAGCAUCCUACCAGAAUAACAAAAAUGAGGUUUUUGCUUGCUUUGCUAUUUUCCACGCCCUUGUUUUAGAGCAUUGCAGUGUUGCAACACCCAGUUUUGGUGUAGUACGCUUUAGCUGCAUGUAGCUUUUUUUGUUGUUUAAUCAAUUGGCAGGCAUUGUGUUUAAGCCACCUAGAUUGGUUGUUUUCUUAAAAAAUGUACACAUUUAGGCCACAGUUUACAUCUUCAUCCUUCAAUGGAGGGGUUUUUAAAACCACAUUUUGAGUGUUUUGCUGUGCAUCCUGAACGCUUCACCGGCGCAUACGGCAUCCUAAGGGUUAAUCCAGGUUCUGUUUUUCUCAAAACGUUGUGUUCAAAAAGUAUUAGAUUUUGUAAUUAGCUUGCAAAGAAACUAAAUAACCACAGCCACAAGGGACUCAGUUAUUAUAAUCUGUGCCUAGUUCAUUUAAUACUAUGGCAAGCGCCUUCUGGAGACACUCAAAAUCUACUGCUCUAUGUUAAGCUCUUUUCAUACCAAAAAUACCCGACUUCAGGUGGGGGGGUGUUCAUCCAGGGGGUUUCUUCAGCUGCCUUGUUGGAGGGGGUCAAGGAAAAAGUUUUAACUUCUCUCUGUGGGGAGAAGUUGACAUGAAAAAGCAGCAUUUUCUCUCCAGUUCCACUGCUAGCAAUGCUAAAGAGACGAAGAUCUCAUGAUAAAUAGACGUGUCUUACCUAUGCUUGAUUGCACUGGACUACGAAGAAAGAGCAAAGAAGGAAUGCUGGUACCUGGCAAGGAAGGAGAAUUCCUGAACAUCUAUUGCAAAAGAAAACGACGUGGCUCUUCUGGUCUUGCCAGCGCAGCGAGGGGCUGAUCCUACAGUUGUUUGUGUGUUGGCAGAUGGAGGAAUCCACAGAGAACGCAACAUGGUGCUCACUUAAAAAAGGAGUCCUGAAAUACACUGACCACUUGCUAAAAUUAGAAAUCCUAUCUACAGUCUAAAAUCUGAAUGUAAUACAAGAUUGGGAGCUUAAAAUAUCAUUACUUAUUGAAGUAGUGCAAAAAUGAGUAAGGUCUUGUCCUUCAGCAAUAAAAGAUGUUACAAUAAUCUUGUGAAGUUGUAGGAGAUCAAGUGCAAACAAUCUUUCUGACCAUCACAACUUCCCUCAUACAGCUUUGUACCAUCACUUACAUUAUUACAUUGAUAAGCACAUAUAUGAUUUCAAGACACUUUUUGGCUUAGGACUCUGUACUGGCUUUGGCUGGGAUAGAGUUAAAGGUCUUUGUAGUAGCUUGUACAGGACUGUGUUGGAUUUGUGCAGAAAACAGUGUUGAUAACACCGGUGUUUAAUUAUUGCUGAGCUGUGUUUACACGAUGUCAAGGCCUUUUCUGGUCUUCAUCUUGUUCAUGCACAUUAUUCCAUGUUUUUUACACUCAGGAAGCAGACACAGGUGCACAGUGGUUUAAACAAUUAUCAACAGUUAUCAAAUACAAGAUGAGAAGUUACACUUUUUCUUACGGGAUAAGUGCUUUUAGAAGAUCGUAUUCAGCUACGGUGUCCUUAGUCUCAGAUAAAUUGCACAUAGCUCAAAAAGCUUUUGGGAGAAGCAUUAAAGGUUUGGGAAAAAGCUUCUUAGUAAUAGACUCCAAAGAUGAAUUAAUUCACUUAAAUUCACUGAAAGUUUGUGGGUUUAAUAGAAACAUAGUUUCUAGGUAACUUACUUUAUAAAACAACAUUUUCAGCACCCAAUAAACUUAUAUGUGACAGCCACAGCCAUCACUGUGUAUCGAUGUAUGGCAAGUCCUGAAGCUGAAACUAGGCAGAAUCAGACUACUGUAAAAAUUUUAGCAGUGAAAAUAGUUAACAACUAGAACAACUUUCUAAAAGUUUAUUUUCUAAAAGAUGGGAUCUUCUCAUAUCAUAACUAAGUGAAGCCUUAGCUUAGCCAAGCUCUUAGCUCCUCUUUUAACUUAGAAGAGCUGAGAUUAGGUGUUUAGUGUAAUUCCUCCCACAUUUAUAAUAUAUGGAUGCACAGCACUUCUUUAAAUGACUCCUGGAGUUUUUCACACUAAACAUGUUGGAAAACUUUGCCUUUUGUCCUCCAAUAUUUGUGUUCCACCUGAAAAAGAGAAAAGAUCUGUACAUCCUUUGAGUUCAGAAAGAUGAGUUUUUCAAUAAACUGGGUAAGGUGGCAGGGCUGAACUGUUCCACUUAGUGAACUGCAUUAAAAUGUAUCAGGGGAGAGAUAUGAAAGAAGAGGAAUAUUCCAGAGAGAGGAGGGAAUGUCAAAGAAAAGCAGUAUAUAGAGGUUACAGCAUGAACUGGAGUGGCAGCCUUGCAGCGAGGCCAAGCAGCUCCUGCGCCGCACUGACAUCAGGUGAACAUACAGAUGCUGUAAAGCACCUUUGCCCGGCACCUUCAUCUGGCCCCUACACGCUGGGGUAGGUAGUGCAUCAUACAAAGGAUAUUGUACCAUUACAUUUCCUUUGAAGCCUGGAAAAAAUAGAAAGCUCUCAAAGAAUUACGAAGCAGCUGGAUUAGGACCUUGGAGACAUUCACCACUUUGUGGUGUAAAAUGCAUGAGGUGACCUGUAGGGACCCCAUCUUGAUAAUUUUUUGCUGUGACUGAAGCAGCCGUUCCUUUAAGCUACAUAAAACAUUUCUGUCAGCAUUUACCGUGUUGCCCCUUGAUCCCAUUUACCUCUGUUGAACAAAGCUAAUUAGUGACAGAAGCUAAAAGUUAACCACCACUGAAAGGGCAGCCCAAGCAGUUGUUCAGCCUGUUUACACAUCCAGUGAAAGGGGUGAUGGACAGAGCUUUGUUACCUUUCACCAGAGGUUUUCAGGCAGUUUUACAUCACGGAUUUCUCUGUAUUCCUUGUUUUUUCCUCUUCAUUGGUUGCUUUCUCACUUUUCACUUUAUUAGUCUUCCACCUGCAUGUUAACAUACCCUGUCUGUUCCCAGUCUAGUACUUUAAAUGGGCCUAUAGCUGCUUUUUGGAGGCUUUCCCCAGUCCACUGUUGCUCUUUGCUGGUCCUCUCUUUUCCAGUAAAGUCAUCCAUGCCAGCCCUGCUAAAGUCCUCCACCCCCAAAAUGCUACCCUUUCUCCUCUCUCCAGCAAGAACUAAGCUCAUCCUUAAGCAACCUGUUUUCCACUCUAUCAUGCAAGUUGUUUGCUCAGUCCUACCUUCCUUCAACAGGUGUAUGGUUUAAGUUUAGGCCUCUGGAGAGUCUACACAAAGGUCUGAAGUUCGGACUUUAUAUACAAGUGCACAACCACGCAGUAGCCAAAUGCCUUCCCCAGGAUUUCAGCAGCACUCAGUCCCUCUUAAGAUAACACCUCCUUUCACUCUAACAGCACUAACUCUGCUCUUGACAAGAAUGAAGACAGACAAGUUCUUUUAAACCAUGCCACAAAAUCCCAGAUCAUGGAGUGUUUUCCUUAGAGGAAUAGUGAAUUUUUCAUCUUUCACUUUGUAAAUUGCUAUUGGAGCGUUGCAGCAGCAAUUGCAGAAAAUGCGGAGCAAAAGAAACACUCAAAUAGAAUAAUGCCCAGGUCUAAAGUAAAAGUUAUUCUACACAAUGUGUAGCAGAGCUAGAUUCUUGUAGAAACUGAUCGAUCUCCUUAACUCAUUGAAGUGCAACAGUGUAAUACACGUUGUGACUUCAUUUUCCCAUAGUUUCCUUCAGUAACUGUGGCAGGUUAAAUGCCUUGCAUUGAGGGCCCCCAUACAACAUUUUCAAUCUCCAUUUACUCACUUAUUAAUGAAUAAGUUGCUAUUUGAAGCUACCUUGCUAUACAAAAGUAAAUAUGACUAUAUACCAUGAUAAUCUCAUGGGCCCUCUCUGUAAUUGUAACAUUUCAUAGCCUCAGCUCCUUUUAAAAAUUUCAUUUUAAAACUACAUAAUAUAUUAAGUUCUCUGAAUACAGAUUAAGAUGCCAAACAAUUAACUGAUUCUAUUACAUAGGUAGUUUUCAAGAAGAAAAUAAGCAGGUGCAAAUUGCCAAAAAAAUCCAACAUCUUACUGUAAAAUUAUUUGUGUCCUCAUUGUCUGGAAGCUUGAGACUCUUCUAAAGCAGCGAACAAACUUUUCUCAGUAGGGCCACAUGUGUGUCCCCUCAAAUUAAAAAUAAAAUAAAAUAAAAUAAAAUAAAAUAAAAUAAAAUAAAAUAAAAUAAAAUA